rnacentral:rRNA from 1 species
UGACGAGUUUGUAUCCUGGCUCAGAAUGAACGCUGGCGGCAUGCCUAACACAUGCAAGUCGAACGGUGCCUUCGGGCAUAGUGGCGCACGGGUGCGUAACGCGUGGGAAUCUACCCUUGGGUUCGGAAUAACAGUUAGAAAUGACUGCUAAUACCGGAUGAUGACGAAAGUCCAAAGAUUUAUCGCCCAAGGAUGAGCCCGCGUAAGAUUAGCUUGUUGGGUGGGGUAAUGGCCUACCAAGGCGACGAUCUUUAGCUGGUCUGAGAGGAUGAUCAGCCACGACUGGGACUGAGACACGGCCCAGACUCCGUACGGGG